rnacentral:rRNA from 1 species
UACGAAGGGGGCUAGCGUUGUUCGGAUUUACUGGGCGUAAAGCGCACGUAGGCGGAUCGUUAAGUCGGGGGUGAAAUCCUGGAGCUCAACUCCAGAACUGCCUUCGAUACUGGCGAUCUCGAGUCCGGAAGAGGUGAGUGGAACUCCUAGUGUAGAGGUGGAAUUCGUAGAUAUUAGGAAGAACACCAGUGGCGAAGGCGACUCACUGGUCCGGUACUGACGCUGAGGUGCGAAAGCGUGGGGAGCAAACAGG